GUGUAUUUGGCUGCUCCAGAGUCCUUGUGUUUCAAUAUUAUUACAUCUCUGCAUCUUGACUCCAGUGUUUCUGUUCCUGCCUUGGUCCCUGCUCUUGCCUCUGUUUGCUGCCUAUAUCUCUGCCUUAGGACUCCAGUGUUCCUGCAUCUGCUCCUGUUCCUAUAUUUGCCUUGACCCUUGCUCUUGUUUGCCUCCUACAUCUUGUUGCCUUGUUCCAGCUCUGUUCUCCCACCCCUGUGCUUCUUGCUUGGUCACAACCAAUUGUGCAUUAAUGGUCUAAUGGCAAUUGGAUUUCCAGGUGCAAAACAAGGCAUUGUCUGCAAUGAAUCCUUCAUGUUACAAAAUUUGCCAGUGUGUGGGAAAUCCUUUGAAGAAAUGAUGUACAAAGUGGAUUCUAAAAAAUGGUGCAAUCUAACAGAAUUUAU